GGCUGAAGCCUUGAAGAUAAGAUCUGCUUCUGAGGCUCACUCUGUAGAAGUGGCUUCACCUGGAAAAUGAAAAGGCCUUUAGACACCCUCAGAUUACCUCCAGUAAUUUAAAGUAAGGUGACCUGUCGCAAUAAAGAUAUGAGGAUUCUUAUGGAAGCAACGGGAAGUUCAUUACAUGCAGUGUGGGCCUCAAGGACACAGGAGAGCUACACGACUGACCCACAACUCUAGUCAUGAAAUGGAUGAGAUUCUCUCUCUGGAGAACAUGCACAGAAGAAAAGAGAAGGCUCAAGACCUAAAAUAUUGAGGUCAGGAAAAGGAGAGGAGCCAACCAAGAAGACCCAAGAAUGGUCCAAGACGUGCAAG